GAUAUCGUUUUUAAUGAUUUUUUUUUAGGGCUUUAUAUAUAAGAGCUGGUUUUCUCCCUGUUGUUAUCUUAAGAUUUUUUUUUUUAUGUGUGCUUGGUUUGCAUGUAUAUCUGUGCCACAUUCAUGUAGUGCCCAUGGAGGACAGAAAAGGGCCUAAGAUUCCUAUUCACAGUUGUGAGCCAUUGUGUGGGUGCUGGGAGUCAAAGAUAGGUUCCCUGGAAGAACUGUCACUCCUCCUCACUGCUGAGUCACCUCCUCAUUUUAGAGCUGUUUGUAAUUUGCUUUUUCUUGCUGAGAUAAACACCAGGACAAAAUAGAACUUAGGAAGUAAGAACUUAUUUUGGCUCCUGCCUGCCUUCCAGAUCACAGCCCCUCUUCAUGGGACAUCUGGGCAGAGAUCUGGUGACAGAGAUUAACUGGGACAGAGAUUAUGGAAGAACACUGCUGACCGGGUUGCUCCUAAAGACUUACUCAGCUUCAUUUCUUAUAGAACUUAUAGAAUGCAGGCCCAUAUGGUCAAGAGUGGCACCACCCAGAUGGGCUAGGCCUUACAUGUCCAUUAUUAAUCAAGAAAAUACCCACCCCACAGACUUGCCUACAAACCAGUCUGAUGGAACUGUUUUCUCAAUAGAGGUUCCCUCUUCUCAGAUGACCAUAUCUUGUGUCAAGUUAACAACAACAAUAAAAAAGAAACCCAAAAAACAAAUAAACAAAAAACAAACAAAAAAGGAACCUAACCAGUCAAUUGUUCCCAUGAUCUCAUGUUAAUAUCAAAAUAUAGAUCAUAGCAUAACUUUAGGAAUAUCACAGUCUUAAAAAAGGGAGGUGUCUUAGUCAGGGUCUCUAUUCCUGGACAAAACAUCACGACCAAGAAGCAAGUUGGGGAGGAAAGGGUUUAUUCAGCUUACACUUCCACAUUGCUGUUCAUCACCAAGGAAGUCAGGACUGGAACUGAAGCAGGUCAGGAAGCAGGAGCUGAUGCAGAGGCCAUGGAGGGAUGUUCUUUACUGCCUUGCUUCCCCUGGCUUGCUCAGCCUGCUCUCUUAUAGAACCCAAGACUACCAGCCCAGAGAUGGUCCCACCCACAAGGGGCCCUUCCCCCUUGAUCACUAAUUGAGAAAAUGCCUUAUAGCUGGAUCUCAUGGAGGCAUUUCCUCAACUGGAGCUCCUUUCUCUGUGAUAACUCCAGCCUGUGUCAAGUUGACACACAAAACCAGCCAGUACAGGGGGGCAUACACACUACAUAUUCAGUGCCAAAAGUUCUCUGCUGAGGGCUCCUAUAAAUCAAAUGUAGUUACGCAUUUCUGAUUUCAAAAGGGAAGAAGCAGGCACAGCUACAAUCUGAUCAAAGUAAAUCUAAAAUUCCACAAUGUUAAUCCAAUUCUGUAGCUGAGUGUAUUUCAUCUGGGCUUCACUCAUGAUCUUCUGGUCUUCUGAGGGCUUGGGUAACACAAUGUUUCUGGCUCUGCCAUACACAGCACACAUCCAUCACUUGACCUAUCGGCUCAUGCUGUCUCCAUCCCACAACUACUGCUGUCCUUGGCAAUCAUCAGUGGUACUGUCAUCUCUAAUAUGCUAAGGUCCAUCAUCCACUUCCUGGCUUUUCUUCAGGAACUCCAACCCUGGCACUCGGUACAAAAAUCUCAGAUGAUCUCCAUAAACCCUUCCAUCCCGAUGUUUCCUCUGUAACUGGGGUUUCAGCUUCAGCAGUGACAUCUUCUGGCCUUUCAUGGUACCCUGCCUCAGCUCUCCAUGACUCCUUUGUUCCUGCAGCUCUCAUACUGCCAAAAUUAAUACCACCUGGCAGAAUCUUACACAUUGUCAUGCUUUGCUGCCAACUUGAAAUGCAACCGUAGCCCCUUGUGGUCUUUGUGCUGAUCAAAAUCAGAUUUUACCUCAGAGAUGUUUUUGUUUAUCAUAGCUGAUUCUUCAGCCCCAGCUGACUGGAAGGCGUAGAUUCUUAGUACAGAAUAUUUCAUGAACCACUCUUAUAGUCUUUGAGGUACUCUUGAACAUACCUUUGAGAGUUUGCUUGGAUGUUAUAACAUGGGAGCGUAGUUACUCAUAUACCUUUAAUUGAAGACUGGUGUUCCUCUCUUCAGGGAAGGCCAUCCUCUUUAACAAAGCACACAGCUUCAGGAAGGAUAUACUUGGAACUGUGAGGGAGGAAAAGAGACACUCCUUAGCUGGCCACAUCACUCCUAGUGAUCAAGGGGAAUGACCUAAGUUGCAGCCACAUCACCUUUAUACUCUCAGACAUCCCUCUGAAACUUGACAAGGCAGCUUCCAUUGUCCACAUUGCUGUUAGCAUCCUUACAUUCCAAGUUGCCCAAACAGAUCAUUAAACUCUGAGCAUUCGUUGGCUGUUCCAGCUGAAAGUUCUAAACACUUCCGCUUUCUUUCCAAAAACAACAUGGCUAGUCUGUAACGGCAAUAGCCUGUGGGCCUCCUUUAGUUUGCUUUCUUGUCCUGUGAUAAAUACCACAAUCAAAAGCAACUUGGGAAGGAAAUGAUUUCUUUUGGCUUAUACUUCAUGUCACAGUCUAUCAUCAUGGGAAGCCAGGCCAGGAGGCUAAGCUGGGCCAUCUCUGGAAGCAGGAACUCAAGUAAAACCAUGGAAGAGCGCCGCCCACUGAUUUUCUCUGUUACUUUUUGUAUACAACCCAUGCCUGCUUGCUCAGAAGAGGGACAAAUCACAAUAAGCUAUGUCCUCCCACAUGACUUAGUAAAUCAAGGAAACACCCAUGUAGAAUUACCUACAGGCCAAUCAGAUAGAGGCAUUGUUUUUUUAAAUUAAAGUUAUCUAACCGGUACAUGUAAGUAGAGUAGUAUUUCCUAAUGUUAUGUGAUAUUCUUUUAUCCUAACACAAGCACAUUGGUUGACUAUUUUCCUCUUUUAUGGUCAUAAAUUAUUUAUGUGUAUGUGUGGGUUCAUGUGAAUGCAUGCUACAUAUCUGAGAAGGAUUUAUGGAGCCAGAAGAGGACUACAGGUCCCUUGAAGGCAGAGUCAUGUGCCACUACAAACCCACCCAUAGGAAUGCUGAACUUUGGUCUUCUGGAAGAGGAAGAGGUGCUCUUAACUGCUGAUCUCUUGUACCAGAUUCUUCCUAAUUCUUAUAUUUUUGGUUGUGAGCCUAGCCUUU
rnacentral:lncRNA from 1 species